CCUACGGGAGGCAGCAGUGGGGAAUCUUGCGCAAUGGGCGAAAGCCUGACGCAGCAACGCCGCGUGCGGGAAGAAGGCCUUCGGGUUGUAAACCGCUUUCAGAAGGAACGAAAAUGACGGUACUUUCAGAAGAAGGUGCGGCCAACUACGUGCCAGCAGCCGCGGUGACACGUAGGCACCAAGCGUUGUCCGGAUUUAUUGGGCGUAAAGAGCUCGUAGGCGGUUCGGUAAGUCGGGUGUGAAAACUUUGGGCUCAACCCAAAGCGUGCAUUCGAUACUGUCGUGACUAGAGUUCGGUAGGGGAGCGGGGAAUUCCUAGUGUAGCGGUGAAAUGCGCAGAUAUUAGGAGGAACACCGGUGGCGAAGGCGCCGCUCUGGGCCGAAACUGACGCUGAGGAGCGAAAGCGUGGGUAGCAAACAGGAUUAGAUACCCUGGUAGUCCACGCCGUAAACGUUGGGCACUAGGUGUGGGUCUCAACCAACGAGAUCCGCGCCGUCGCAAACGCAUUAAGUGCCCCGCCUGGGGAGGUACGGCCGCGAGUAAACGUUAAAUAGAUAGACGCGUGAGACNGCGACGACGACACGAGGGAGAG
rnacentral:rRNA from 1 species